AUGAUGCUGUGGCUGAACUUGGUGUCCUUCCUAGCAGUCCUCAGAGGUGUUCAAUCCUCAGCCCAGUUGGUGGAGUCUGGAGGGGACGUGAGAAGGCCUGGAGAGUCCCUCCGUCUCUCCUGCCAAGCCUCUGGCUUCCCCUUCAGCAGCUAUUGGAUGCAUUGGGUGAGACAAGCUCCUGGGAAAGGCCUGGAAUGGGUGUCCGGAAUAAACCCUGGUUCAAGUGAUAUUAGGUACUCGGACAAAGUGAAGGGACGCUUCACCAUCUCCAGGGACAACUCCAAAAGCCAACUCUAUUUGCAAAUGAACAGCCUGAAGACGGAGGACUCGGCAGUCUAUUACUGUGCGAGGGACACAGUGGGAGGAAGGGGCAGUGUUGUCACACUGAAUGGCUUUCCCCAUGUGUGGGGUGGGGGUGGGGCAGAGGAAUAA